CCUGCAGUCGAGCGGAGAAGGAGCUUGCUCCUGGAUUCAGCGGCGGACGGGUGAGUAAUGCCUAGGAAUCUGCCUGGUAGUGGGGGACAACGUUUCGAAAGGAACGCUAAUACCGCAUACGUCCUACGGGAGAAAGCAGGGGACCUUCGGGCCUUGCGCUAUCAGAUGAGCCUAGGUCGGAUUAGCUAGUUGGUGAGGUAAUGGCUCACCAAGGCGACGAUCCGUAACUGGUCUGAGAGGAUGAUCAGUCACACUGGAACUGAGACACGGUCCAGACUCCUACGGGAGGCAGCAGUGGGGAAUAUUGGACAAUGGGCGAAAGCCUGAUCCAGCCAUGCCGCGUGUGUGAAGAAGGUCUUCGGAUUGUAAAGCACUUUAAGUUGGGAGGAAGGGUUGUAGAUUAAUACUCUGCAAUUUUGACGUUACCGACAGAAUAAGCACCGGCUAACUCUGUGCCAGCAGCCGCGGUAAUACAGAGGGUGCAAGCGUUAAUCGGAAUUACUGGGCGUAAAGCGCGCGUAGGUGGUUCGUUAAGUUGGAUGUGAAAUCCCCGGGCUCAACCUGGGAACUGCAUCCAAAACUGGCGAGCUAGAGUAUGGUAGAGGGUGGUGGAAUUUCCUGUGUAGCGGUGAAAUGCGUAGAUAUAGGAAGGAACACCAGUGGCGAAGGCGACCACCUGGACUGAUACUGACACUGAGGUGCGAAGCGUGGGGAGCAAACAGAUUAGAUACCCUGUAGUCCCGUAAUCAG
rnacentral:rRNA from 1 species